rnacentral:rRNA from 1 species
UAAAAGGGCCAAAAUCCCCUAAAUGCACCAAAUCCCAUCUGAUCCUGGCAGCUAAGCAGGGUCAGCCCUUGGUAGUACUUGGAUGGGAACUGUCAAUUAAUAAUAAGUGUUGUAAGAU